UACGUAGGGUGCGAGCGUUGUUCGGAUUCAUUGGGCGUAAAGGGUGCGUAGGCGGCGCGGUAAGUCGGGUGUGAAAUCUCGGAGCUUAACUCCGAAACUGCAUUCGAUACUGCCGUGCUUGAGGACUGGAGAGGAGACUGGAAUUCCUGGGUGAUAGCAGUGAAAUGACGUAGAUAUCAGGAGGAACACCGAUGGCGAAGGCAGGUCUCUGGGCUGACACUGACGCUCAUGCACGAAAGCGUGGGGAGCAAACAGG
rnacentral:rRNA from 1 species